rnacentral:rRNA from 1 species
GAUGAACGCUAGCGGCAGGCUUAAUACAUGCAAGUCGAGGGGCAUCAAGGUACACGAAAGUGUAUUGUUGGCGACCGGCGGACGGGUGAGUAAUAGGUAGGUAACCUACCUCAUACUGAGGCAUAGCUGGGAGAAAUUCCAGGUAAUUCCUCAUGAGGUUAUAUGACACAUGUGAUAUAAUCAAAGGUAUCGCAAGGUACUGGUAUGAGAUGGGCUUACUGACCAUUAGCUAGUUGGUGAGAUAAGAGCUCACCAAGGCGAAGAUGGUUAGGGGUUUUGAGAGAGAGAUCCCCCACAUUGGAACUGAGAUACGGUCCAGACUCCUACGGGAGGCAGCAGUAGGGAAUAUUGGGCAAUGGGCGGAAGCCUGACCCAGCCAUGCCGCGUGAAGGAAGACGGCCUUAUGGGUUGUAAACUUCUUUACUAUGCGACUAACUAGAUUUACGAGAUAAUUCUAUAGAAUGUAGCAUAGCAAAAAGCACC